GACGAACGCUGGCGGCGUGCUUAACACAUGCAAGUCGAACGGAAAGGCCCUGCUUGCAGGGUACUCGAGUGGCGAACGGGUGAGUAACACGUGGGUGAUCUGCCCUUCACUUCGGGAUAAGCCUGGGAAACUGGGUCUAAUACCGGAUAGGAGCCAUUUUUAGUGUGAUGGUUGGAAAGUUUUUUUCGGUGUAGGAUGAGCUCGCGGCCUAUCAGCUUGUUGGUGGGGUAAUGGCCUACCAAGGCGGCGACGGGUAGCCGGCCUGAGAGGGUGGACGGCCACAUUGGGACUGAGAUACGGCCCAGACUCCUACGGGAGGCAGCAGUGGGGAAUAUUGCACAAUGGGCGCAAGCCUGAUGCAGCGACGCCGCGUGGGGGAUGACGGCCUUCGGGUUGUAAACUCCUUUCGCUAGGGACGAAGCUUUUUGUGACGGUACCUAGAUAAGAAGCACCGGCUAACUACGUG
rnacentral:rRNA from 1 species